rnacentral:rRNA from 1 species
UCCCAGACUCCUACGGGAGGCAGCAGUGGGGAAUAUUGGGCAAUGGGCGCAAGCCUGACCCAGCAACGCCGCGUGAAGGAAGAAGGCUUUCGGGUUGUAAACUUCUUUUCUGGGGGACGAACAAAUGACGGUACCCCAGGAAUAAGCCACGGCUAACUACGUGCCAGCAGCCGCGGUAAUACGUAGGUGGCAAGCGUUAUCCGGAUUUAUUGGGUGUAAAGGGCGUGUAGGCGGGAAUGCAAGUCAGAUGUGAAAACUAUGGGCUCAACCCAUAGCCUGCAUUUGAAACUGUAUUUCUUGAGUGCUGGAGAGGCAAUCGGAAUUCCGUGUGUAGCGGUGAAAUGCGUAGAUAUUAGGAGGAACACCAGUGGCGAAGGCGGCUUGCUGGACGAUGACUGACGCUGAGGCUCGAAGGCGUGGGGAGCAAACAGGAUUAGAUACCCCCGUA